UGAGGUCUGGGAGGGGGCCCAGCUCUUCUGUCCAGGCUACUGGAGACUUCCUUUGGCUGGGAACUCCAGGGGACCAUGUUUGGUGACGGAGCCCGGCUGGGCUGCACGAAACAUUGGUGGCAGCUGAGUGAGAGAGAAACUUACUAGAGUAUUUGGGCUGGCAAGUGACACCCCUUCUGCUCCGAGAUAAGAUGGAGACUUUUUCAAGCUACAUUUUAAAAUCGUAAAACCCAGGACCUCCUGCUGGAGAUGAGCGAUAGGUGUCAGCAACUCUGCCCAAGAACAAGAGGGACCUAUGGAGGGGAUGGAGGGGGGCCCCGGGACUGAAGGGCGGGCUCCUGGGACAAGCAGCUCCAGGAUCGUGGGAGCCAGUACUGGAGCAGAGGCUCUGCUGACAGAAGUUGCCUAUGGCCCCUCUUGGCAACUGUGGAAGCUUACUCACCUGAGAUCGCCAGGGCUGCUGAUACCUUUAGGGUUGCAACUUUGCAGCUAAAAAAAUAAAAUGAAAUGAAAUAAAAUGAAAUAAAAUAAAAUACAUUUCUGGGGAAAGGAUGCUCACCUUGGGUCAUGGGCUCAACCCAGCAUAGGGACGCUAGUAGAGGAACUAGGGGUGUGCUGCAAAACACCAGCCAGGGCAUUCCCUUCUUCCAGAUGAGAAACUGGUGUCCUAACUCAUCCAAGUGACUGUCCCUCAGGGGAGCGGUAGAGUCAUC